rnacentral:rRNA from 1 species
UGAGUGACCUGCCCUGGCACGGGGGAUAACCCGGGGAAACCCGGGCUAAUACCGCAUGCGCUCUUUUGGCUGAUGGCUGGGAGAGGAAAGCUGCUGCAAGGCAGCGUGCAAGGGAGGGGCUCGGCGGCGUAUCAGGUAGUUGGUGAGGUAACGGCUCACCAAGCCGAUGACGCGGUAGGGGGUCUGAGAGGAUCGGCCCCCCANAGUUGGGACUGAGAUACCGGCCCAGACCUCUACGGGA